rnacentral:rRNA from 1 species
GGCUCAGGAUGAACGCUGGCGGCGUGCCUAACCCAUGUAAGUCGAACGAACCAAUUAGCAAUAGUUGGUGAGUGGCGGAAGGGUGAGUAACACGUAGGAGACUUGCCUCAUCGCAGGGGACAACAGUCCGAAAGGAUUGCUAAUACCCAAAAGGAUCGACAAUUCAUUUUGUCGAUCAGAGUCGAAAGGCGUGGUGAGAGAGUCCUGCGGCCCAUCAGCUAGUUGGUAGGGUAGUGGCCUACCAAUGCAACGACGGGUAGGGGGUCUGAGAGGAUGGUCCCCCACACUGGAACUGAAACACGGUCCAGACGCCUACGGGUGGCAGCAGGGAGGAAUAUUGCACAAUGGGCGAAAGCCCGAUGCAGCAACGCCGCGUGGAGGAUGAAGGCCUUCGGGUCGUAAACUCCUUUUAAGGGAGACGAGAAAGGACGGUAUCCCUUGAAUAAGCCACGGCUAACUACGUGCCAGCAGCCGCGGUAAAACGUAGGUGGCGAGCGUUAUCCGGAUUCAUUGGGCGUAAAGAGCUUGUAGGUGGCUUCGUAAGUUGGACGUGAAAUCUCCGGGCCUAACUCGGAGACGCCGUUCAAUACUGCGGGGCUUGAGGAUGUCAGAGGGAAGUGGAAUUCCUGGUGUAGCAGUGAAAUGCGUAGAUAUCAGGAGGAACACCCGUGGCGAAGGCGGCUUCCUGGGGCAUUCCUGACACUGAGAAGCGAAAGCUAGGGGAGCAAACGGGAUUAGAAACCCCGGUAGUCCUAGCUGUAAACGAUGGAUGCUAGGUGUUGGCAGAUCUAACCCUGCCUGUGCCGAAGCUAACGCGUUAAGCAUCCCGCCUGGGAACUACGAGCGCAAGCUUUAAACUCAAAU